GAUGAAGAACGUAGCGAAAUGCGAUAAGUAAUGUGAAUUGCAGAAUUCAGUGAAUCAUCGAAUCUUUGAACGCACAUUGCGCCCGCCAGCAUUCUGGCGGGCAUGCCUGUUCGAGCGUCAUUUCAACCCUCGAGCCCCCCCGGGGGCCUCGGUGUUGGGGGACGGCACACCAGCCGCCCCCGAAAUGCAGUGGCGACCCCGCCUCAGCCUCCCCUGCGUAGUAGCACACACCUCGCACCGGAGCGCGGAGGCGGUCACGCCGUAAAACGCCCAACUUUCUUAGAGUUGACCUCGGAUCAGGUAGGAAUACCCGCUGAACUUAAGCAUAUCAAUAAGCGGAGGA
rnacentral:misc_RNA from 1 species